UACGUAGGGGGCAAGCGUUAUCCGGAGUGACUGGGUGUAAAGAGUUGCGUAGGUGGCAUAAUAAGUAGCUAGUGAAAUCUGGUGGCUCAACCAUUCAGACUAUUAGCUAAACUGUUAAGCUCGAGACCGUUAGGGGUAACUGGAAUUUCUAGUGUAGGGUUGAAAUCCGUAGAUAUUAGAAGGAACACCAAUAGCGUAGGCAGGUUACUGGGACGGUUCUGACACUAAGGCACGAAAGCGUAGGGAGCAAACGGG
rnacentral:rRNA from 1 species